GACUGAGAUCUGCUGAGGGGGGCAGGGCUAAACCCAGCCAGUGCACUCUAGGACGGUAUGGUCUGCUCUCACAGACAGGCAGAUAUUGGCAGCGUCUGCUACAUCUGCAAUAGAAGAUCAGAAAGAGAGUCUCCAAAGCAGACAGCUCUGGGUUCCGAGAUCAGCACUACUGACUAGAGGCAAAAUGAUUUGGGACCAAUAACAAAGUCCUAGAACCAGCAUGAGCCAAUGAAGGAAGUACUAUGCAUGCUCUUGGAAGAAAAAAAGUUAUCCACCAAAACAGUUUCAGAACCCAGUUAACACAUCCUGGCAGGAAUAAAGAGAAUAUGCCUGGGAAUGACUCUGGAGUGUACAGCAAUGGGACCCUCCAGGAGAAGGGGAGAAGGAAUGAAGUAUAAGACUGGAUAAAGUAAAGUUUGUUGACUGGAAUGUGUGGAGGACACUGUCCAGUGACUCAGAACCAGUUUCAUAAAUCCUUGUCUGAACCAUAAAUUCUAUUCACUGCCCACAGAAGCUUGAAAAGAGUGAUGGCCAAAGUAAUUGAGGUAGAAAUGCCAGACUACCUUGGCAAAGUAUGGAGGAAGGAGUCAAAAGGCUUAGAGAGAUGCAUGCUUAGAGAGGGCAUGCUGUAUGGACUUAUUACAGAAUACCAGGAAACCCAUCAGAUUGAUGACCAUGUUCAUAGGAGGGGCCAGAGGACUCUUACAACAGUAAGGCAUCUCCCAGUGAGGGGUCCUCUGGCGUUACAGAAAGGAAACAAUGGUAGAUAUUCUCUGUAGGUUAGAGCUGGUGAUAGGUGGGGCUACUCUGGAACUGGGCUCCCUAGGGUCAAUGGAAAUAAAUGGCUUCUGGAAAUAUCAGAGGCCAAGUGACAUUAUUCAGUCAUCAGGCGCAAGGUGGAAAUAAUUAAAGGGCAGAAUUUUCAAAAUGUCAACUUGAAGUUCUCACCUGCAAGGACCAGCGGCAAUAGUGUUCUUAAGGAAAAAUAGGCAGCCAACAUGGAUGUUACUUGAUAUAUAUAAUCAAAAAAACAACAAGAGCAGGCAAGCAGAAGGCUGGCGUCAGUUGCUACCGUGAAAAAUCACAAUUCCUGCCAUUUUCCAGACCCCGGUCAAUUCUCAGACCCAGGAUCAAUCAACAGAAGAGGAAGCCAAGUUCUCUUGAGCAAAGACCUCAAAACACUAUAGCAAGUAAUUAGCAGGAAUUCCUCUAAUUCUUCCCCCAAAGUUUUCUAUGCUGUUUACCAGAGUAAC
rnacentral:lncRNA from 1 species